rnacentral:pre_miRNA from 1 species
AGUGGGAUAGUUGGGUCAAAUGGUGGUUCAAUUCCAAGUUUUUUAAGGAAUCUCCAUACUGCUUUCUAGACCGACUGCACCAAUUUGCAGUUCCACCAGCAAU